UUAAUUGAAGAGUUUGAUCAUGGCUCAGAUUGAACGCUGGCGGCAGGCCUAACACAUGCAAGUCGAACGGUAACAGGAAGCAGCUUGCUGCUUUGCUGACGAGUGGCGGACGGGUGAGUAAUGUCUGGGAAACUGCCUGAUGGAGGGGGAUAACUACUGGAAACGGUGGCUAAUACCGCAUAACGUCGCAAGACCAAAGAGGGGGACCUUCGGGCCUCUUGCCAUCAGAUGUGCCCAGAUGGGAUUAGCUAGUUGGUGAGGUAACGGCUCACCAAGGCGACGAUCCCUAGCUGGUCUGAGAGGAUGACCAGCCACACUGGAACUGAGACACGGUCCAGACUCCUACGGGAGGCAGCAGUGGGGAAUAUUGCACAAUGGGCGCAAGCCUG
rnacentral:rRNA from 1 species